ACACAAACCACCUGAGAAUCAUGUUGGAAAUGCAGAUACUGGUUCUGCAAGUCUGAGAUGGGCCUGAGAAGCUGCAUUCUAACAGGCUCCCAAGUGAUGCCUAC
rnacentral:miRNA from 1 species